CUAUGGGAGGCAGCAGUAAGGAAUAUUGGUCAAUGGAGGCAAGUGUGAACCAGCCAUGCUGCGUGCAGGAAGACAGCCCUAUGGGUGGUAAACUGCUUUUAUUCGGGAAUAAACCUACUUACGUGUAAGUAGCUGAAUGUACCGAAGGAAUAAGGAUCGGCUAACUCCGUGCCAGCAGCCGGGGUAAUACGGAGGAUCCAAGCGUUAUCCGGAUUUAUUGGGUUUAAAGGGUGCGUAGGCGGCUUUUUAAGUCAGGGGUGAAAGACGGUGGCUCAACCAUCGCAGUGCCAUUGAUACUGA
rnacentral:rRNA from 1 species